rnacentral:rRNA from 1 species
AUUGAACGCUGGCGGCAGGCUUAACACAUGCAAGUCGAGCGGAGCGAGGGUGCUUGCACCUUAGCUUAGCGGCGGACGGGUGAGUAAUGCUUAGGAAUUUGCCUAUUAGUGGGGGACAACAUUCCGAAAGGAAUGAUAAUACCGCAUACGCCCUACGGGGGAAAGCAGGGGAUCUUCGGACCUUGCGCUAAGAGAUGAGCCUAGGGCGGAUUAGCUAGUUGGUGGGGUUAAGGCCGACCAAGGGGACGAUCUGUAGCGGGUCGGGGAGGAUGAUCCGCCACACUGGGACUGGGACACGGCCCAGACUCCUACGGGAGGCAGCAGUGGGGAAUAUUGGACAAUGGGCGGAAGCCUGAUCCAGCCAUGCCUCGUGUGUGAAGAAGGCCUUUUGGUUGUAAAGCACUUUAAGCGAGGAGGAGGCUACUUAGAUUAAUACUCUGGGAUAGUGGACGUUAUUCGCAGAAUAAGCACCGGCUAACUCUGUGCCAGCCGCCGCGGUAA